rnacentral:rRNA from 1 species
UGAGGAAUAUUGGUCAAUGGGCGAGAGCCUGAACCAGCCAAGUAGCGUGCAGGAUGACGGCCCUAUGGGUUGUAAACUGCUUUUAUAUGGGAAUAAAGUGAGGGACGUGUCCCUUAUUGCAUGUACCAUACGAAUAAGGACCGGCUAAUUCCGUGCCAGCAGCCGCGGUAAUACGGAAGGUCCAGGCGUUAUCCGGAUUUAUUGGGUUUAAAGGGAGCGUAGGCUGUUUGUUAAGCGUGUUGUGAAAUGUAAGAGCUCAACUUUUAGAUUGAGGGGCGAACUGGCAGACUGAGUGCGCACAACGUAGGCGGAAUUCAUGGUGUAGCGGUGAAAUGCUUAGAUAUCAUGACGAACUCCGAUUGCGAAGGCAGCUUACGGGAGCGCAACUGACGCUAAAGCUCGAAGGUGCGGGUAUCGAACAGG